ACACCCACCUCCCUGCUGUUCCUCACCCAGGAUCACCAAGGUCUCUCCUACCCCGGGGCCUGUGCACCUGCUGUGCCUCUGCUUGGGGUGCUCUUCCCAGGGCUUGCCCACCUCCUCAGAGAGGCCUCCUGACCCCUGACACGGCCUUGCCCUUCACCUCUAUCGUCCUUUAGAACAGCCCCCACCUCCCGCACAUCAUGCAGUUGCAGGUUCAAUGGCUACUGCUUGUCCUCCAGACUCCUCUCCACAAGCCAACAGCUCUCUCCUGGCUUUGAUUUUCAACCAUUUAAGUUGAAAAAAAUUCAAAACAAAUGAAAUGCACUUAAGAGAAAGCCUUGAGGAGUUCAGCAGGCCACCCAAAGUGAAGGGACUCCUUUGGGGGUCUUUGUUGUUAUCAAUUAUUUAUUGAGCCCUGAUGUGUUCCUGGCGCCACCAAGACCGAAAGGAGACAGGGUCCCUGCCCUGGGGCAUCCCAACAAAGAAGGGAGAGUUUGUGAAGCUUAAAAAUGUCCCAGAUGGUAAAACAGUUACACGUCAUACCUCAAGGCUGCUCUAUACUUUUAUUAUAGUUUUAUUCUUAAGGCUGUUUAUUUAUUUUCUGAUGUAAAAGGUAAUAGAAAGUUUAUAAACUAUUCCUAGAAUAUAGACAAAAAAUAAAAUUCGACUUCGUCCAGCAUUUUUAAUGCACAUGUAAGAACUCUACUUGGUUUAUGGCCGGGCGCGGUGGCUCACGCCUGUAAUCCCAGCACUUUGGGAGGCUGAGGCGGACGGAUCAUGAGGUCAGGAGAUCGAGACCAUCCUGGCUAACAUGGUGAAACCCCAUCUCUUGCUAAAAAUACAAAAAAUUAGCCGGGUGUGGUAAGCAGGCGCCUGUAGUCCCAGCUACUCGGGAGGCUGAGGCAGGAGAAUGGCGUGAACCCGGGAGACGGAGCUUGCAGUGAGCUGAGAUCGCACCACUGCACUCCAGCCUGGGCAACAGAGUGAGACUCCGUCUCAAAAAAAAAUAAAAAUAAAAAUAAAAAUAAAUAAAAUAAAAUAAAAAACUCUACUUGGUUUAUGAAACUGGGAUUUAGUUUGAACGUGUACUCUUCAGAAUCUGCCUUGAGUUGACAUCAAAUUACAUCACCUACAUUUAUUCAUUUUUCUUUUCUUUCUUUUUUUUUUUUCAGAGUUUCGCUCUUAUUGCUCAGGCUGGAGUGCAAUGGCGCGAUCUCGGCUCACUGCAGCCUCCACCUCCAAGGUUCAAGCAAUUCCCGUCUCAGCCUCCCUGAGUAGCUGGGAUUAUAGGCGCCCGGCUAAUUUUUUGUAUUUCUGGUAGAGACGGAAUUUCGCCAUGUUGGUCAGGCUGGUUGCUUACAUUUCUUUAUGUCAUAAAGCAGGCUUCAAAACAGAAAUUUUAAUCUCUUCAGAAUAUUCCAUCACAUAGAUAUAUGAUAAUUGCCUUCAGUAGUCCUCUAUUGCUGGAUGCCAGUUUUUUUUGUUUUGUUUUGUUUUGUUUGGUUAUUAUAAAUAACACUGCCAUGAACUUCCUUAGUUUCGAAAGAUUUGAAUCACUCUCAUUAUAAUUUCAGUUUAUUUGUUAAUUUAAUGUAUUUUUUGAGACAAGGUCUCACUCUGUUACUCAGGCUACAUUACAGUGGCGCAAUCGUAGUUCACUGCAGCCUCAAAAUCCUGGGCUCAAGCGAUCCUCCCACCUCAGCCUCCUGAGUAACUGGAACUAAAGGCGCACCCCGCCACACCCCACUAGUUUUUAAAAUUUUUUUGUAGAGACAGGGUCUCACUUUGUUGCCCUAAUUUCACUUUAUAAACAGGAAGAAAGAAAACCUAACUUUAAGUUUGAAACCAAAUCCUAAUGCUUUCUCGCAGUUCUAUUUGCUGAGGUUAAGGUGGGUAUGAAGGAUGUUGUUGAACCCACUAGGCUGCAGUUGCACCGAGGAACUGCGGGUCUCCACCAGGAGUGAGCGCGGGCUCCCAGUGACCCCACCAGCACCUCCUGUUUUUUUGUUGUUGUUGUUUUUUGUUUUUUUGAGGCGGAGUCUCCCUCUGUCGCCCAGGCUGGAGUGCAGUGGCGCGAUCUCGGCUCACUGCAAGCUCCGCCUCCCAGGUUCAUGCCAUUCUCCUGCCUCAGCCUCCCAAGUAGCUGGGACUACAGGUGCCCACCACGACACCAGCUAAUUUUUUUGUAUUUUUAGUUGAAACAGCGUUUCACCGUGUUAGCCAGGAUGGCCUCAAUCUCUUGACCUUGUGAUCUGCCCAUCUCAGCCUCCCAAAGUGCUGGGAUUACAGGCGUGAGCCACCGUGCCCGGCCACUCCAGCACCUCCUCUUUCAAGUACAAAUCCAGACCAAGGCACAGGGCCCCUGCUGGGUCUGACCUUUUAGCACAAAGAGCCACCGAACCAUGGGAAACACUAAAUAAUUUGAUGCAAAGUAAUUUCUUUCUUAAACAUAGGGCAUCCCUACAGCUUUCUGUCUUAUUUUUUAGCUCCAUAUGAAAGAGUCUGCUCUGGGGCAAGUCCACGAGGCCCUGAGUACCACUGGGAAUGGAAGCUCCACUGAGGCACACAUAAGCCUCUGGUGCUUCCGUCUCUGCCAUGAGAGGGUGGAAGAGACACUGGGCCACUUCAAAGUUGUUAGGUGGCCAGUUGCUGGGUGGGCAUUAUGUGAGGGACACUUCACUUUCCCAUUUCUUUGUACCAGACAGAAAAACAGUGGAAAAUCAGUUAUCUCCAGUUUAAAGUUGAUGGGUCAACUAAGGCUCUUUGGGCUUAAGAAAUCAGUUCAUAUAGGUUUUUGUUUGUUUGUUUGUUUGUUUGUUUGUUUUUUGAGGUAGGGUUUCACACGGUCACCCAGGCUGGAGUCCAGUGGCACGAUCUCAGCCCACUGCAACCUCCACCUCCAGGGUUCAAGAGAUCCUCCUGCCUCAGCCUCCUGAGUAGCUGGGACUACAGGCGUGUGCCACCACAUCUGGCUAAUUUUUGCAUUUUUGGGAGAGAUGAGGUUUCGCCAUGUUGCUCAAGCUGGUGUUGAAUUCCUGGCUCAAGUGAUCUGCCCGCCUCGGCCUCCCAAAGUGCUAGGAUUACAGAUGUGAGCCACCCUGCCAGGCCCAGUCCAUAUAGUUUUAAGCUCAUUUGGAUUUAAUAUAAAAGUUUAAGCUUUUGGCCUACUGUUUAAUAUUGAAUUGUUCCUUUCAUGGAAUCAUGAAUGAUUUUUCACAAGUUUCUCUUCUUUUUAUAAAAAGUGACUCUGGUGGCCAGGUGCAGUGGCUAACACCUGUAAUCCCAGCACUUUGGGAGGCAAGCCGGGCAGAUCACGAGGUCAGGAGAUGGAGACCAUCCUGGCCAACAUGGUGAAAACCCAUCUCUACUAAAGAUACAAGUUAGCUGGGCGUGGUGGCACGUGCCUGUAAUCCCAGCUGCUCAGGAGGCUGAGGCAGGAGAAUCACUUGAACCCAGGAGGCAGAGGUUGCAGUGAGCCUAGAUUGCGCUGCUGCACUCCAGCCUGGUGACAGAGUGAGACUCUGUCUCAAAAAAAAAAAAAUGACUCUGGCUCUGGCUCUAUAUCUAAGGGGUCAACUGCACCAUUGUCACCACAAUGCCAUUUUCUGGAAGGAAAAGCUCUAUCUGACUUCACAGUCCUUAGGAGCCUUGUUAUGGAACCUGGUGGACAAACCAUUUUAACUGGACAUGAUGUUGCUUUUUAAUCAAUGACUCCUGAAAUUUUAGGUGAGUAUGAGUCUGGAGUUUUAGAUUACAAACAACAGGAAGCCAAUUCAACCCAGCUUUUUAAAAGAAGAUUUCUAAUUAAAUGUGUUGAUUCUGUUAGCAGAGAACUCUGGGGGCAGUGUGGGUUGCAGGCAUGGGUAGAUCCAGGUGUCAAAUGACAUUCUCAGGACCCAUGCUCUCUCCAUCAUUGGCUCUGAUUGCUCAGGUUUGGGCUCCAUUCUUGGGCCACUCUCUUGCUCUGCAGCAAGAUGGUCAAUGGCAGCUCUAGGCUCUCACCCUCAUCUUCACAUCUCUAAGUCCAGAACAAAGAGCUUUCCACACCUGCUACAGAUCUGGGAGAAGAUGAUCCUAUCUUUCUUGAACCUGAGGCUAGUCCUUACUCCUCCCUAAGUUCUAACAUAUUUACUUAAAACAAGGCACUAAUGAAAUGACUAUAUAAGUGCCCCACUGCCUCAGUAGGCAAAAAAUGUGUUUUUAUAUAUAGCUUAUUCUAACAGUAUUCAAACUGUGGCUUGAUCUUACUGAGCUCCAGUGGCCAUAGAGAAUAUGAUUCUUUCAGAUGUUUUCACAACAACUUUUACAGCAACUAUCUUUACACCUGCCUUCCCUUUCUCCUCAUCAGAUCAAUUAGUCUGGUUUCUUCUAUUUCCUGCUUACUUUCCGUUCCCCCAUUACUGAACUUCUGAUUGAAGAAAUAUACAGGACUGGGCACUGAGGCAUUGAGGAUGCUUUCAAGUUAGCAGUAAAGAAAUACCCACAGGGUCAUCCUGCCAUCCCAACAAUUGUCUUCUUUCUGCUAGGAUAGGCCUCAUCACUCCUCAGAUGAUUCUCGAAGGAUAACACACAGGCCAGUGGGCAGCCCUAGGCCAGGGGGAUUACCAAGACAUGAAGACUUUCUUUCUGUCUCAGCAACCUUCAUGCUUGGUCAAGCAAAGGUGUUGCUUAAGUCAAACCCAGGGCAGGGGAGAGCAGUUGAAGCAAAGUGAGUCUUUGGAGGCCCUGUGGUUGUGGGGUCUGGUGUGGAGACAGUGAGAACGGAAAAGGUGGGAGAGGAGCAGUCAACCCGUGAAUGGCCCCAUUCAGACGCCUUUACCUGGAAGACGUGGCAGGUGAGCAGCAAGUGAGCGGGAGAGUGGGAGAGAGAAUGAGGAAGUGAGGGAGAGAAUGGAUGAGUGAGCACCUGCUUGGAUGAGCCGACACCCACCAGGGAUCAUGAGAACACCGAACAGCUGAGGCACGGUGGCGUCUCUCAGCAGCCUCCCCAGGCCUGUGCCCCUGGGUCCUGACAUGAGAGCUGAUGACCAUUUAUUAUCACUGGUGAUGUCAAGAGGUGGCUUGGAAUGGUUGUAACCGUCUGUUCAUUUUCAUCUCACCUCCACAUCCACCACAAAUACACAGUGACGUUGCUCUGCAAAAGCAGCAGCACACAGCCCCCCAGAAGCCCCUUCCAGGUAAUUGCCAAAAGUUUCUUCCAUAUGGAAAUUCUGUAGUUGUGUGACCUCAGGCUAGUUACACAACCUCUCUGAGCUUUGCCAUCGUCUUCUGUCCUAUGGUAAGAAUGAUACUGAGGUACUAGGGAGCUGUGAAGCAUAUGCUGUGAGACAACACAGCUGAGCAGCCCAGCCAGAGCCCCCUGGGGAAGCCGUCAGAGGUCAGCAGCUCCCGUCUCCUUCCCUCUUGACUCCUAAUAGUCUAGGACAGAACUUUGCCCUCCCUUCUUCCUGUCCCAAAGAUGCACAAUGAUAAUGAUGCUGAUGGUUAUUUAGUAAGAAACUUCCCAACAGGAACAGUCAUCAGGAGGGGGCACAGUUGGAUUCUCUCCAGUGAAGAUGUCAGGAUGGACAGAAAUGUCAGCGUAAUCCAAAGAGGACACAAACACCCCUGCUAUUUUCUUGUCACCAGGAAAAGGCCAGCUCUAGGUUUGAUGAAUGUUUAGUGAAAGAAAGUUUGCAAAAGUAGAAAAGAAACUGACAUAAUGGUAGCCAAACAGGCUUUCUCUGCAUUAGAAGAGCUAAAUAUACCCUUGCAUGUCUGAUUAGAGAAAAACAAAACAAACAAGCAAAAGCUCCUCCGAUGCACAGAGGUACUGCUCCAUUGAACUAGACCAGAAGAGCUUGGGCCUGCCCCUUGGGAACAGGGGUCAACAUGAUGCGGUGGGCAGGGACCCAUCAUCUGACAAGAAGAUGCCCUGAGGGCAAUGGAAAGCACGGUGUGUCGGGAGAAGAUGGCCCUGAGGGCAGGUGCAUUCAGGUGCUUGUGAACGCUGCAGCAUGUUGGGUCUCUAGUUUUGUAUCAGUCAGCUACUCUCACAACAAUGCUGUGUAACAAACCACCCCAAACUCAGUUGCAAACAAUGAUAUUUAUUUCUCAUUCUCAUGUCCACAGGUCUACUGGGGUUCAUCCCAUCUGAGCCAGGCCUGGCUUUUCUUGGCUGCAAGCUGAGAGCUGGGUCCAGGUCUGCUGAACCAAGGUUCUCCCAUCUUCCUUGAGCCAGUGACAAUCAGAGGCCUAUUUCUUUCAUGACGGAAGGCAGGAGAACAAGCAGCUCCCGGCUCACCCACCCAGCAGCUCAGCACCUGCGAAAUCCGUCUCCCGAUGCACACUUGCUAACCGCGUGGGUGUGAGCACAACGAUGGGAAACAGCGGAAGUCCCCGGAGUGCAGACUCAGGAGUGAACCUGCCUGAAGAGUGGCGUCUAACGCACACACUGUGGUCAGCUCCACCCCACUAUGGGUCCCGGGAAUAGGAGCAAGUAUGUAUUUUGCUUGCAGGGCAGGUGUUUCAUCCACAUUAUUGCAGGAACAGAUGAAUUUAAUUAAAAGAACACCACAGUGGGCACCUCUUCCAGGGAUGUCUCCCUCUAAGAACAUGACACUGAGAUGAUCAAGGUUCUAAAAGGGCGAUCAAAUUACUCUCCGAAAAUGAAACUGCUCAGACAGAAUGACAAUUAAAUUAAUAACAACCAAGACAAUGCCCAGAUUUCAUCUCCGCUCACAGCCCCUCCUGUGUGCUGUAUGAUCAGGUUCUUGGGGUGGCUCCAGAUACAGCAAACAGUCAGGAUUAAUCCACAAGAGUGAGCUGUCAGCAUGAGGUUCCCCUACAGUGGAGCUUGCCAAGGUCCGUGCCUCCCAGGGCACCCGUUCCAGGGCUAACAGAUGAAGCAUGGAAAUGCUGUGUGGAGUGAGCUAAGCAGCCGUUCUCAGGAGAAAACAGACAAAUCCUCCUGCAUCCUGGCAAACCAGCUUUGUGGCCUGUUUUAUGUCAUCUUUGCUGAGCUCCACCGGGUCACCCCUCCUGUUGGCUUUGUGAUACUGACAUUUCAGGCACUGGCACAGAUACAUUGGCCUUCCUGGCUGGGAUUUCACGGACGGAGUGAGCAGUGCUGGCUUGGAGGAGCCGUGGCGGCACAGGGCCUGUGCUCUCAGCUGAUCAACGCCUUGAUAGCCAGGAAAGGCCUGUCCUACCCCAAAGGGCCCUCGCAGCACUGUUUGAAAUUGCUCUUGCCAUCUUUGGAAUGGAUUCCUCAGUACAUUUCAGACUCGUUGUUGUGACUUUGGUUUUAAUCCAGGGACACACCGUGGCCAGUGGAGUGUCUCAACAGCAUCUAUGAUCGCUGUUUCCCAGAGACAGCAUCUCAGAUACCGAUGCUGAAAGAGAAACAGCAGCCUGUCCCCAAGUGGCAGGAAAUAGUCCAUUUUAAUGGCAAUUUCAUAAGUGGCAGAUGAUUUUUAUUGUAAUUUUCUGGUGAGCUGAUUAAGUGGAGGCAGAGUCAGUUCUGAGGCGUCAAUGUCUUUAACAAUUCGGGGAGACGGAGGCCACGCUCAGCAGGAACACUGAGUCCAUGGAAAACAGGCCCUGGGCCCGCUGAUGUGCAUAAUUCCACGUUUGCCCCUCAUGUAACCAGGAUGGUAAAUUACAGGUGUCAGAUAAUCACGCUCUGGAGUGGCUACUUGAGGAUGCGAUCGACCAAUUUAAGCUCCGUCUGACACAUGAUCAAUAGCCCGUGAUGCUGCAUGGAAUUGCAGGCACAGUGUCCAAACCUGCAGAGCAGUGGCUCCCAGCUGGGGCAACUUUGCCCCCCAGAGGACAUUUGGCAAUGUCUGGAUAUGUUUGCAAUUGUCACAACUAGGAAAGGAGGUACCCAUAGGAUACACAGGAAAGUCCUCACACAGUUGUAUCCUGCCCAGACUGUCCGUAGAGCCAGGGUGAGAUGCUCUGACAGAGCCACAGUGAACAUUGCAUUCCAUCAUCUGGGUAUCUCCAGGAAUGUAUGUAGCUGGAUGUCUGGCUUUUCAUCUGGGUUUCACGAGCCUCCUGCAGAACUGAAACCAUGUGCAAAUCAGUUCUCAUACUUGCUCUCCUGCCUCCUUCCUAUUGUAAUUUUUUCUUCCCACCUUUUUUAUUGUUACUAGAGAAAUGAUGAAGAAAAAGAAUAGGCUGGAGAGUCACUCAAAAUUUUGUUUUCCUCAAUUAAAAAGAAGUAAUUUAGAAGUUACUCAAUGAUGUUUUCUUUAAUUAAAAAAAAAAGUAGUUUGGGAAAGCAGAAAAUUAAUGAAGACAGAAAACACAGGUUUCAUGAAAAAGUUCAGCAUCCCAGGAAAGGAGCAAAGAGAAGUCUGCAGAUGAGAGUUGCUCAGUGUCAGGACUCAGAAAACAAUACCCCAAGAUAAUGUUCAAACCUGAGUGCUUUGAACAAAGGAUAUUGAAAGACCUCAGAAGAGGGCCUCAGAACUCACAUGUCUCUCUGACCUUCUCCUGUCUCUCCUUCACUUCCAAAGCAUGAUCUUUGGCCAGGGGAUCUCUCUGGGAUUCCCUUAUCUGCCUGAGGGAUGUACUUCCAAAAGAAAUGUGACUGGCAUGACCUCCUCCCUAGGAAUCUCUUCAAACAGCCGGGAAAGACUGGUCACCUGAGAGGAGAUUGGAAGUCCUCACUGCACUCAGAAAGGCUGUUGUCCAUUCUUCUAGAGACUUUAUCUGAAUAACAAGGCAACUUUUGUUUACCAUUCAGUUCCUCCCCUUUCCUUUCUAACUUGUCACCACCUCCCCCAAAAGCCUCAAGCCUCCACUCCUACAAGCUAUAAAGACUUCAACCAUCUGGCUUCUCCAUGAGUCUCAUGUUUUGUGUGGCUCUUAGGCAUAUGUGCAUGGUAAUACAUGUGUAUGCCUUUCCUCCGGGUAAUCUGUUUAUUGUCAGUUUAAAGCAGCCACAGAGUUAAAGACGGAAGCCUUCAGAAGGCUUUCCCUUUGCCCCUGCAUCCAUCACCUGAGAGCCCACCCAUGACAGACUUGAACUAUGGACAGAGGCUGCAGUCAAUAGAGCCCAGGGUGAGACUGACUACAGGAGAAGCUGGGCCUUGGGGGAUAAGCCCAAGCUUCUCAAUUCUCAAACUGCAGGUUAAGCCUCUAUAAUGGAGCCUGAAUUCCAUUCAGUGAGUCUUGACCAGCAUUUUAAAAUGUGAAAUAACAGAACUCAGUAGAAAAUAUCAAAGGGCAUUACUUAUAGUGAGGUAAGAAUAUUCUGCGAAAUUUUAGUUUUAUAUUGAGUGUGUGUGUGUGUGUGUGCACGCGCACGCCAGGCCUUGUUGUAAAAUAUACUUCUUAUAAUGGGUUGUGUUCAAAACAGCUUGUAAAAUAUGGGAGCAGAUGAAAUGAUGGAGGAUUUGGUAAGAACUAAAUAUUUGUAAGCAAAUUUUGCAGUGAAAAGAACAAGGAAAUUAUUAAUUCAAGAGAAAUCAAAAGUAGUAUAAGAAAGAAAAUGCAACCAUAUUGCCAUACUUGGCUCUGCUGUAAAUAACAUCUACUUGGCCACAUGACAUAAAUGCUGAUUAUGAUGAUGUCAUUGAAAACGGUAAUUUAGCCAUGCAGGAGGCUGUGAGUUAUGGUGGCAAGUGGAGGAAGAGAGCUAAUCCCUCCUCUGGGGGCCGGCAUUGAGAGAUCACAGAGCAACUUGAAUCCCCGUGAAGCACUUGCUCUUACAAGAUUUGGAAGAAACUUGCACAAACAGUAAAGUGUCUUUACUUGUGGAUGUCUCUGGGAAAAGAUGGGCAGGGAACAGAAAGAUUCAACGGUGUUUGAUUUGGUGACCAUAUAUCUCUUUAAUUUAAAAAGGGAUCAUUCAGGACCAGUGAGGCCAUGGUGGUGUUCAUUGGAAAGAGCCCAGGGACCCAGGUGGCUCUUGGCUCCAUCACCUAGAACCCCAUGCCCUUGAACGAGUCCCUCUCCAGCUUUUGACACCAGUUGGCCAACCUCUAAAACAAAGAGGCCAGGCCAAAUUAUUUUGACUUGUCCUUGGAGCCCUGUGAGUCUGUCUCACCACGGAGUGACUUGGGAGUCUGGGUACCACCCACCCUGACUCCAUGUCAAAUACCGUGCACAUCUCAAGCACAGUGCCUGGCUCAGCACAGGCAGCAGGAAAGCUGUGUGGGUGUGCAUCAGGGUUGGUGGACACAGUAGACAGCCUUUGCUCUCCCAAGAUGGGGGAGGUCCGGUACCAUGACUUAGGGAACUGCUGGUUCCUAACCAACCCCCCCACCCACCCCGGACAGUAGUGCAGAAAGGAUGCUUUCCUAAUCAGCUAAUUUUCACAAAAUGUGGGAUGCCCUGGUGGGAUCCCGUGGUAGGAGAGUAGAUGACUUCCAGGAGCACAUAGAGGGGGCAGAGGCUGCGGGCUGACCCUUGAUACCCCUCAUCCCCUUCAUUUAACAUUAGAAAUCCCAAAGUUUAGUUGCCUGGACCGGAACUGAAUUUCCCAUCCUGCCUUGCAGCUGGUGUGUACCUUCCCAGUGUACCCUUAAAUGCAUGAGUACGCCCCACUUACCCUUUUCCUCUUCCCUCCUGCCUGAUGUGACUUGCACCUCCUUGGACCAGGUGGACAAGAAAAGCCUCCGUCAAUGACAGAGCCCAAGAUGGGCAGGUCGAGGAUCAGCCCCGGGAGCCGCCCAACUAGCUCGCCCCUCGCCCCCGCCCCCCAGCCCCCACAAUCCCCCGAUGGCGAGGCUGUCAUGUGGGAGAAAAGCAAACCUCUGGUUCAUGAAAUUGCAGGUAUUUGGAGCCUCUGCACAAGCUAGUGAACUUGUAUAUCAAUAAGUAGGGGGAGUACAUUUUUUAUUUCAAUAGUUAUUCACUUUAAUGUGUAUUAGAAAAAAAAUUCCAACUUAUUAAUCAAACCUGUGAUUUCAUUAUGGCGACAGAGGACGUUAAAGUAGGUAACACAUUUUUUACUUUUACCAUGAGUAAAAAUGUGAGCCGGUUUAGUUUAAAAGAAAACGCCAGAAAACAGCAUGGGCAUGACAAGGGUUUGGCAACAAUCACGAUCAUCCUGGAGUGACUGAAGCUCGUCCACUUGGGACAGGUGACCAUGUGGGGGACUCUGGAGCAGCAAAGCAGUCAGGGUGAGGGGUCAGAGGCACCAAACUUCCUCUUAGAAAAACACGAGGGAACCGACGAACCCAUGUCCAGGGAAUGCUGAGGACGCUCUUGACUGUAGGGGGACCGAGCACAAAGCCCCCGUCGCCGCCCGGCGGACCCGAGCUCCUGGACUCAGCCUUGACCGACACUGACUCUGUUCCCACAGCGGCCGCUUUGUUCGUCUCCUUUGUGGACACUUAGCUCAGCGCCUGUGCUGCUCGGCUGUGACCUGACCUUCGAGGGUCACCUCCUGAAUUCAAUCGCUGUGACCUGUGCUGCGGACCCCGUCAGGAAGCUCCUGGUCUCCUCCAGUCCCUCCCCCGCCUCAUUCGCACAAAAGGCCUCAUUGUUCUGCAGGGUCUGAUUCAGACCUGCCCUGGUUUCAGUUUCGGCAAACACCCAGCACUGGCUUUGGGUCAGGGGUCACUCUGGAGUGAACGGGGCGCCCUGAGCAACCCCACAUCGCUGUGUGAUCCCGGCUCAUCCACAGGAAGCCCCGGCCCAGGGACCCAAAUGGGUCCCAGAAGUGGACCAGAUGCAGCGCCGACGGUGAUGUGGGGACGCCGGCAUCUCCAACAGUGGGAAAGAGGAAACUUUCUACUUUUCAUUAAGCCCCGUCCUCUUCUCCCCCAGGGUUACGGGGACACAAUGUCUUCACUGGCCAUGUUGGAACGUUCUGGGGUGUGAAGGGAACGUCCCCAAGAGCAGUGACUUGACCUUCGCUUUGGCUGAGAUUUGAAAUUCUCUUCUUACCGAUCUUUAAAUCUGUACACGCAGGAGUCUGUUUUAUAUCCAGCCGUCCCUGUGACCUCGGGCGAGUUCCUUACCUUGUGUUUCCUCAUCUGUAAAGUGGGAAUAAUGACCGCACGGCCUCGUGUGCUUGUCAGAACAAAAUCAGACAAUGCACGAAGACCCGUUGGCCCGGAAAGCUGCAGCUGGGCCCUGACGAUGCCACGCUGUCCAUCUGGGGAGGGGAAGUUCAUUGCUAAUUCGACUCAAAGGAGAAAAAUGCAUGUCCCCCUGAGCUGAAAGAAGGAACGAAGCCAAGUCCACCAGGCCACCGGGUCUCCUUAGGCUGAGGAAAUGGACAAGGAGGGCAACAUGGAAACUGCAGAGAGCAGCAAAGCCCUUCACUACUGCUGCCCGAACCCUGCAGCGGCUCCUACAGCCACCACAGGUCACUGGGCCAGAAGCAAGUUAGGGAACAGCCACAUCACCAUUCAGGGAAGCCGCUCCCAGGCGCUGAUCCCCGGAAUGGUGGAUUUGCUAACAGCAGCCACACAGACACCUCACCUCACGCCAGGCUGCUGAGCUCAGCGGGGGGCACGAUUGCCCAAGCAGGGGUGGGGCAGGGCAAGGCAGACCCAGUCACAUGGUGGGAAAAGCCAAAAAAAACCUGCCUGAUUUGGUAAAAUGCCAGAACUGGGCAUUUUAAAGUUAGUUUUUAAGGCGUAGCCAUUUGUUGGGGGUUUUUUUGCCUUGUACUCUCCUGUCUCCCUCCUCGCCACACAAUAAACUGUCUCCAAGGCAGCCGCCCUCCCGUUGCCAGGACGUGCGAGGCAGGGAGGUCAGGAGCUCUGCUGUGAGGGCGCCACCCGGCUUCCGGUUUGUGCAUGAAAACCCGGCUCAGCUUUUCCGUUCCAUGAAGACUGGGCUUCUCCAGGCUGCUCGAAGCUGCAUGAAGACAGGGGUCUCAU
rnacentral:lncRNA from 1 species